AUACGUAGGGGGCAAGCGUUAUCCGGAUUUAUUGGGUUUUAAGGGAGCGCAGGCGGAGAUGCAAGCGUGACGUCAAAUUUCGGGGCUCAACCCCGUCUCGCGUCGCGAACUGCGUCCCUUGGUUGCGGGAAGGGGAGGCGGAACUCGUGGUGUAGCGGUGAAAUGCAUAGAUAUCACGAAGAACUCCGAUCGCGAAGGCAGCCUUCCGGCCCGUCAACGACGCUCAUGCUCGAAGGUGCGGGUAUCAAACAGGAUUAGAUACCCUGGUAGUCCGCACAGUAAACGAUGGACACCCGCGGUUUGGCCUGUAUGGCUGAGCCGCCAAGCGAAAGCGUUAAGUGUCCCACCUGGGGAGUACGCCGGCAACGGUGAAACUCAAAUGAAUUGACGGGG
rnacentral:rRNA from 1 species